rnacentral:rRNA from 1 species
GACAGAGGGUGCAAACGUUGCUCGGAAUCACUGGGCGUAAAGGGCGUGUAGGCGGGAAGGAUAGUCAGAUGUGAAAUCCCUGGGCUCAACCCAGGAACUGCAUUUGAAACUCCCUUUCUUGAGUGCUGGAGAGGAAGGCGGAAUUCCUGGUGUAGAGGUGAAAUUCGUAGAUAUCAGGAGGAACACCGGUGGCGAAGGCGGCCUUCUGGACAGUAACUGACGCUGAGACGCGAAAGCGUGGGGAGCAAACAGG